AAUAUAUAAAAAGAAGAAUAAGAGGGAAAGGGUGAUGAAAAGAAAGGAAGUAAGUGAGCUAAUUGUUUAAUUGCUUUUCGGAGUUUACAGUUUGACUUUAUUCCUAUUUCCUACCUUAGACUACUAUCCAUUGUUUACCCCUUGUGAUUAUUAUGACUUGUGUGCAGGUCAUGUAUUUCAUUGCAUAACACCAUAGGUUCAACUCUGACCAAAUUUACCUACCCUUACCUAAU
rnacentral:lncRNA from 1 species